CAGCCGCCGCGGGAGUACAGAGGGUGCGAGCGUUAAUCGGAUUUACUGGGCGUAAAGCGUGCGUAGGCGGCUUUUUAAGUCGGAUGUGAAAUCCCUGAGCUUAACUUAGGAAUUGCAUUCGAUACUGGGAAGCUAGAGUAUGGGAGAGGAUGGUAGAAUUCCAGGUGUAGCGGUGAAAUGCGUAGAGAUCUGGAGGAAUACCGAUGGCGAAGGCAGCCAUCUGGCCUAAUACUGACGCUGAGGUACGAAAGCAUGGGGAGCAAACAGGAUUAGAUACCCCCGUAGUCCCUGUCUCUUAUAC
rnacentral:rRNA from 1 species